CCCUUAGAUGUCCUGGGCCGCACGCGCGCUACACUGAUGCAUUCAACGAGUAUUUCCUUGGCCGAGAGGCCUGGGCAAUCUUUUAAACCUGCAUCGUGAUAGGGAUAGAUUAUUGCAAUUAUUAAUCUUGAACGAGGAAUUCCUAGUAAACGCAGAUCAUCAAUUUGCAUUGAUUACGUCCCUGCCCUUUGUACACACCGCCCGUCGCACCUACCGAUUGAAUGGUCCGGUGAAAUCUCGGGAUUGUGGCCAGUUCACUUUAUUGGGAGUUGGCUGCGAGAACUUGCUUAAACCUUAUCAUUUAGAGGAAGGUGAAGUCGUAACA
rnacentral:rRNA from 1 species